rnacentral:rRNA from 1 species
UUCUCACUACGGGGCGCAGCAGUGAGGAAUAUUGGUCAAUGGGCGCUAGCCUGAACCAGCCAAGUAGCGUGAAGGAUGACUGCCCUAUGGGUUGUAAACUUCUUUUAUAUGGGAAUAAAGUGCAGUAUGUAUACUGCUUUGCAUGUACCUUAUGAAUAAGGAUCGGCUAACUCCGUGCCAGCAGCCGCGGUAAUACGGAGGAUUCGAGCGUUAUCCGGAUUUAUUGGGUUUAAAGGGAGCGUAGGCGGGUUGUUAAGUAAGUUGUGACAGUUUGCGGCUGAACCGU